rnacentral:rRNA from 1 species
AUUGAACGCUGGCGGCAGGCCUAACACAUGCCAGUCGAACGGUAACAGGAAACAGCUUGCUGUUUCGCUGACGAGUGGCGGACGGGUGAGUAAUGUCUGGGAAACUGCCUGAUGGAGGGGGAUAACUACUGGAAACGGUAGCUAAUACCGCAUAACGUCGCAAGACCAAAGAGGGGGACCUUCGGGCCCCUUGCCAUCGGAUGUGCCCAGAUGGGAUUAGCUAGUAGGUGGGGUAACGGCUCACCUAGGCGACGAUCCCUAGCUGGUCUGAGAGGAUGACCAGCCACACUGGAACUGAGACACGGUCCAGACUCCUACGGGAGGCAGCAGUGGGGAAUAUUGCACAAUGGGCGCAAGCCUGAUGCAGCCAUGCCGCGUGUAUGAAGAAGGCCUUCGGGUUGUAAAGUACUUUCAGCGGGGAUGAAGGGAGUAAAGUUAAUACCUUUGCUCAUUGACGUUACCCGCAGAAGAAGCACCGGCUAACUCCGUG